UCAGUAUUUUCAAGUGAUAGUAUGCAUAUUGGGAUUCUUGCGGCAGCUGCUCAUGCUACUGCAAAUAAUAGUCCCUUUACCGUCUUUUACAAUCCUAGGGCUAGUCCUUCAGAGUUUGUUAUUCCUUUAGCCAAGUACUACAAGGCAUUGUUUCUAUUCUCCUUUUCAGAGUUUGUGAGAUG